AGAUUGAACGCUGGCGGCAUGCUUUACACAUGCAAGUCGUGCGGCAGCGCGGGGGCAACCCUGGCGGCGAGCGGCGAACGGGUGAGGAAUACAUCGGAACGUACCCCGGAGUGGGGGAUAACCCAGCGAAAGUUGGACUAAUACCGCAUAUGCUCUGAGGAGGAAAGCAGGGGACUUCGCAAGAGGCCUUGCGCUCUGGGAGCGGCCGAUGUCCGAUUAGCUAGUUGGUGGGGUAAUGGCUCACCAAGGCGACGAUCGGUAGCUGGUCUGAGAGGAUGAUCAGCCACACUGGGACUGAGACACGGCCCAGACUCCUACGGGAGCAGCAGUGGGGAAUUUGGACAAGUGGGGCAACCCUGAUCCAGCCAUGCCGCGUG
rnacentral:rRNA from 1 species